UGAUAAGCUCCUCUUUCAUCAGAGUUGCAACUGUGAACCGAGAACGACCGCUUCUGUCAAGUUAUUAGUGUUGAAACUCCGGUUGUUUUUUUUUAAGCUACCAGAAAGAAUCUGGAGGAUCCAAUGAUGGCGAGCCCAGCCCAGAGUGACUGUGGAAGGUUGGGGACACGAGUUGCAACUGUGAACCCGAGAACGACCGCUUCUGUCAAGUUAUUAGUGUUGAAACUCCGCUAUUUCAAUCAACUUAUGGGAGCUUGUCAGCACGAGCACACUUCCACUCGUGACUUCAGCCAUAUUUCACAGCAAAGCAUUACAUGAGGGGAUUUACACUUAUGGUGGUAAUUAUGAUGCUGUUGCCUCUCUUAGUCUCAGCUGCUGUGGUCUGCAGUCUGCUGAUCUGGAGAAAGUGUGGAGGAGUUUGGGAGCCUCGCCUGAUCUCACUUG